rnacentral:rRNA from 1 species
GAUUGAAUGGCUUAGUGAGGCUUCAAGAUUGGCGCCGCGGAGGGCAACUUUCCCAUGGGCCGAGAAUCUAGUCAAACUUGGUCAUUUAGAGGUCGUAAAAGUCGUAACAAGGUUUCCGUAGGUGAACCUGCGGAAGGAUCAUUA